GUAAGGUGGUGGCCACGAGCGGGGGUAAGACGAAAUGUCCUAAGGUGGUUGCGAAGCACGGGGCGUAAAGGGUGCGUAGGCGGUCCGACAAGUCAGGGGUGAAAUCCUGCAGCUUAACUGCAGAAGUGCCUUUGAUACUGUCGGUCUUGAGGGAGAUAGGGGUGUGCGGAACUUCCAGUGGAGCGGUGAAAUGCGUUGAUAUUGGAAGGAACGCCGGAGGCGAAAGCGGCGCACUGGAUCUCUUCUGACGCUGAGGCGCGAAAGCUAGGGGAGCAAACGGGAUUAGAUACCCUAGUAGUU
rnacentral:rRNA from 1 species